rnacentral:rRNA from 1 species
CAGCAGCCACGGUAAUACGAAGGGGGCUAGCGUUGUUCGGAAUUACUGGGCGUAAAGCGCACGUAGGCGGACAUUUAAGUCAUGGGUGAAAUCCCGGGGCUCAACCCCGGAACUGCCUUUGAUACUUGGUGUCUAGAGUAUGGAAGAGGUGAGUGGAAUUCCGAGUGUAGAGGUGAAAUUCGUAGAUAUUCGGAGGAACACCAGUGGCGAAGGCGGCUCACUGGUCCAUUACUGACGCUGAGGUGCGAAAGCGUGGGGAGCAAACAGGAUUAGAUACCCGGGUAGUCCCUGUCUCUUAUAC